rnacentral:rRNA from 1 species
UACAGAGGGUGCGAGCGUUAAUCGGAAUUACUGGGCGUAAAGCGUGCGUAGACGGUCAUGUAAGUCGGAUGUGAAAGCCCCGGGCUCAACCUGGGAAUUGCAUUCGAGACUGCAAGGCUUGGGUGCGGAAGAGGGAAGCGGAAUUUCCGGUGUAGCGGUGAAAUGCGUAGAUAUCGGGAAGGAACACCAGUGGCGAAGGCGGCCUU